GACAGAGGUCCCAAGCGUUAGGCGGAAUCACUGGGCUUAAAGCGUGUGUAGGCGGGGCGUUAAGUGUCUUGUGAAAUCCCACGGCUCACCCGUGGAACUGCUGGACAUACUGGCGCUCUUGAGCCACUUAGGGGCAACUGGAACAAACGGUGGAGCGGUGAAAUGCGUAGAUAUCGCUUGGAACGCCGAAGGUGAAAACAGGCUGCUGGGGUUGCGCCGACGCUGAGACACGAAAGCCAGGGGAGCAAACGGG
rnacentral:rRNA from 1 species